rnacentral:tRNA from 1 species
AGACUUUUUAACUAUAUAAGUAUAUAUUUUGAAAAUAUAAAAAAGAGAAUUAUCUAUUAGUC